UUUUCGAAUGAUAUUUAAGAAGAUCCAAUGAAAGCCACGUCAUGAACUUGUUGGUGAUCUUGGUGUCUUCUAUAUCAUUAACUGGAUGAGAUAUGAAGGGAUGUUUCUGAUCAAAUGUUCUCCGUUGCAUUUCUGUGCAGAAACAAAAGUUCAAUUACUAUCCCAUAUGUAUUUAUGAAAUACAUAUUAACAAAUGUAUCUGUUACUACUUCAUUGUUACAUAUAUAAGCUAUCAAAUUUCAACAUAAAAAUUAUCAUAAAAAUAUAACCAUUUCUCAUUAAAAACAAAUACAGCUAAUCCAAAAAAAAAAAAAAAACUGAACAUCAAAAUACAAAGAAUACUUCAUUAUCCAUUAAAAAAAUAAUUUCAAUACAUAAAGUAAACAAAUAUGUUAACAAAAAAAAUUAUGUUAAGAUUACUAACCAUCUACUGAAUCAAAAUUUAUUGUGAAUGGUGACUUCUUGUAUCUAGAUGGUCGCCUAAUCCUUGAAACAUGCAUUGGCGUUUGUUGUGCUUCAUUUGCCGAUGGAUGUACAAUUAUACUUCGUUCAAGAUUGACAUACGCAUUAAGACUAGGAAGAACC
rnacentral:lncRNA from 1 species